UUUAAAUUGAGAGUUUGAUCCUGGCUCAGGACGAACGCUGGCGGCGUGCCUAACACAUGCAAGUCGAGCGAUGAAACCCUUCGGGGUGGAUUAGCGGCGGACGGGUGAGUAACACGUGGGUAACCUGCCUCAAAGAGGGGAAUAGCCUCCCGAAAGGGAGAUUAAUACCGCAUAAUAUGUUUUGAUCGCAUGAUUGAGACAUCAAAGGAUUCUCUUUAGAGUUUCCACUUUGAGAUGGACCCGCGGCGCAUUAGCUAGUUGGUGAGGUAACGGCCCACCAAGGCAACGAUGCGUAGCCGACCUGAGAGGGUGAUCGGCCACAUUG
rnacentral:rRNA from 1 species